rnacentral:tRNA from 2 species
UGGUAGCUCAGAUGGUAGAGCAACGGACUGAAAAUCCGUCUGUCGGUGGUUCGAUUCCGCCCC